CAGUAGCCACGGUAAUACGGAGGGUGCAAGCGUUAAUCGGAAUUACUGGGCGUAAAGCGCACGCAGGCGGUUUGUUAAGUCAGAUGUGAAAUCCCCGAGCUUAACUUGGGAACUGCAUUUGAAACUGGCAAGCUAGAGUCUUGUAGAGGGGGGUAGAAUUCCAGGUGUAGCGGUGAAAUGCGUAGAGAUCUGGAGGAAUACCGGUGGCGAAGGCGGCCCCCUGGACAAAGACUGACGCUCAGGUGCGAAAGCGUGGGGAGCAAACAGGAUUAGAUACCCCAGUAGUCCCUGUCUCUUAUAC
rnacentral:rRNA from 1 species